rnacentral:rRNA from 1 species
CGAUUGAACGCUGGCGGCAUGCCUUACACAUGCAAGUCGAACGGUAACAGGUCUUCGGAUGCUGACGAGUGGCGAACGGGUGAGUAAUACAUCGGAACGUGCCCGAUCGUGGGGGAUAACGGAGCGAAAGCUUUGCUAAUACCGCAUACGAUCUACGGAUGAAAGCGGGGGAUCUUCGGACCUCGCGCGGACGGAGCGGCCGAUGGCAGAUUAGGUAGUUGGUGGGAUAAAAGCUUACCAAGCCGACGAUCUGUAGCUGGUCUGAGAGGAUGAUCAGCCACACUGGGACUGAGACACGGCCCAGACUCCUACGGGAGGCAGCAGUGGGGAAUUUUGGACAAUGGGGGCAACCCUGAUCCAGCCAUGCCGCGUGCAGGAUGAAGGCCUUCGGGUUGUAAACUGCUUUUGUACGGAACGAAAAGACUCUGGUUAAUACCUGGGGUCCAUGACGGUACCGUAAGAAUAAGCACCGGCUAACUUCGUG